CAAGUCUCAGCCUGACUCUGACUCCACAUGCUUUGUGUUGCCUCACGUCUGGGAUCAAAGCACACAAUCUGACCACAAAGGAAAAGAAGAUAAAUUUUGGAGAAGAAGAGAGCACAUUCCCAGAGCCAGUGGUAGCCAAAGAACCUGUGAAAGUGAGGAACUUUGCCUCAUAGAAAAGAAGGUGAGUCAGUCGUAUCUUCUGAGCAGUAAUAUUAC
rnacentral:lncRNA from 1 species